UUGCUCGUUUCAGCAGCACAUAUACUACAAUUGGAAUGAUACAAAGAUUAGCAUGGCCCCUGCACAAGGAUAACAGUGCAUCCUUUCAGGGAUAGUGAUGCAAU